rnacentral:rRNA from 1 species
UGGGGAAUAUUGCACAAUGGGCGCAAGCCUGAUGCAGCCAUGCCGCGUGUGUGAAGAAGGCCUUCGGGUUGUAAAGCACUUUCAGCGGGGAGGAAGGCGAUAAGGUUAAUAACCUUGUCGAUUGACGUUACCCGCAGAAGAAGCACCGGCUAACUCCGUGCCAGCAGCCGCGGUAAUACGGAGGGUGCAAGCGUUAAUCGGAAUUACUGGACGUAAAGCGCACGCAGGCGGUCUGUCAAGUCGGAUGUGAAAUCCCCGGGCUCAACCUGGGAACUGCAUUCGAAACUGGCAGGCUAGAGUCUUGUAGAGGGGGGUAGAAUUCCAGGUGUAGCGGUGAAAUGCGUAGAGAUCUGGAGGAAUACCGGUGGCGAAGGCGGCCCCCUGGACAAAGACUGACGCUCAGGUGCGAAAGCGUGGGGAGCAAACAGG